AAGCCUGAUGCAGCGACGCCGCGUGAGGGAUGACGGCCUUCGGGUUGUAAACCUCUUUCAGCAGGGAAGAAGCGCAAGUGACGGUACCUGCAGAAGAAGCGCCGGCUAACUACGUGCCAGCAGCCGCGGUAAUACGUAGGGCGCAAGCGUUGUCAGGAAUUAUUGGGCGUAAAGAGCUCGUAGGCGGCUUGUCACGUCGGGUGUGAAAGCCCGGGGCUUAACCCCGGGUCUGCAUCCGAUACGGGCAGGCUAGAGUGUGGUAGGGGAGAUCGGAAUUCCUGGUGUAGCGGUGAAAUGCGCAGAUAUCAGGAGGAACACCGGUGGCGAAGGCGGAUCUCUGGGCCAUUACUGACGCUGAGGAGCGAAAGCGUGGGGAGCGAACAGGAUUAGAUACCCUGGUAGUCCACGCCGUAAACGUUGGGAACUAGGUGUUGGCGACAUUCCACGUCGUCGGUGCCGCAGCUAACGCAUUAAGUUCCCCGCCUGGGGAGUACGGCCGCAAGGCUAAAACUCAAAGGAAUUGACGGGGGCCCGCACAAGCAGCGGAGCAUGUGGCUUAAUUCGACGCAACGCGAAGAACCUUACCAAGGCUUGACAUAUACCG
rnacentral:rRNA from 1 species